rnacentral:rRNA from 1 species
UACGUAGGGGGGCAAGCGUUGUCCGGAUUUACUGGGCGUAAAGAGCGUGUAGGCGGCCACGCAGGUCCGUUGUGAAAACUGGAGGCUCAACCUCCAGCUGUCGACGGAAACCGUGUGGCUAGAGUCCGGAAGAGGAGAGUGGAAUUCCUGGUGUAGCGGUGAAAUGCGCAGAUAUCAGGAAGAACACCCGUGGCUAAGGCGGCUCUCUAGUACGGUACUGACGCUGAGACGCGAAAGCGUGGGGGAGCGAACAGG